rnacentral:rRNA from 1 species
UACGGAGGGUGCAAGCGUUGUUCGGAUUCAUUGGGCGUAAAGCGAGUGUAGGCGGUUUGACAAGUCGGAUGUGAAAUCCCGGGGCCAACCCGGACUGCAUCCGAUACUGUCUGGCUAGAGUCCCGGAGAGGGUGGCGGAAUUCCCGGUGUAGGGGUGAAAUCCGUAGAUAUCGGGAGGAACACCAGUGGCGAAGGCGGCCACCUGGACGGUGACUGACGCUGAGACUCGAAAGCGUGGGUAGCAAACAGGAUUAGAAACCCCGGUAGU